UACGUAGGGUGCGAGCGUUAAUCGGAAUUACUGGGCGUAAAGCGUGCGCAGGCGGUGAUGUAAGACAGAUGUGAAAUCCCCGGGCUCAACCUGGGAACUGCAUUUGUGACUGCAUCGCUGGAGUGCGGCAGAGGGGGAUGGAAUUCCGCGUGUAGCAGUGAAAUGCGUAGAUAUGCGGAGGAACACCGAUGGCGAAGGCAAUCCCCUGGGCCUGCACUGACGCUCAUGCACGAAAGCGUGGGGAGCAAACAGA
rnacentral:rRNA from 1 species